UGGGGAAUAUUGCACAAUGGGGGAAACCCUGAUGCAGCGACGCCGCGUGAGCGAAGAAGGUUUUCGAAUCGUAAAGCUCUGUCCUAUGAGAAGAUAAUGACGGUAUCAUAGGAGGAAGCCCCGGCUAAAUACGUGCCAGCAGCGGCGGUAAUACGUAUGGGGCGAGCGUUGUCCGGAAUUAUUGGGCGUAAAGGGUACGUAGGCGGUCUAUUAAGUCAGGUGUGAAAGCGUGAGGCUUAACCUCAUUAAGCACUUGAAACUGAUAGACUUGAGUGAAGGAGAGGAAAGUGGAAUUCCUAGUGUAGCGGUGAAAUGCGUAGAUAUUAGGAGGAAUACCGGUGGCGAAGGCGACUUUCUGGACUUUUACUGACGCUCAGGUACGAAAGCGUGGGGAGCAAACAGG
rnacentral:rRNA from 1 species